CGCUGGCGGCAGGCCUAAUACAUGCAAGUCGAGCGCGCCCUUCGGGGUGAGCGGCGGACGGGUUAGUAACGCGUGGGAACGUGCCCUUCUCUAAGGAAUAGCCACUGGAAACGGUGAGUAAUACCUUAUACGCCCCCCAAUCAAAUUCCAUUUGGUUGACGGAAAUUCUGUUGAAUGCCGGAUGGCAUUUGAUGGGGGGGAAAGAUUUAUCGGAGAAGGAUCGGCCCGCGUUAGAUUAGAUAGUUGGUGGGGUAAUGGCCUACCAAGUCUACGAUCUAUAGCUGGUUUUAGAGGAUGAUCAGCAACACUGGGACUGAGACACGGCCCAGACUCCUACGGGAGGCAGCAGUAGGGAAUCUUGGACAAUGGGCGCAAGCCUGAUCCAGCCAUGCCGCGUGAGUGAAGAAGCCUUAAGGUCGUAAAGCUCUUUCGCCUGUGAUGAUAAUGACAGUAGCAGGUAAAGAAACCCCGGCUAACUCCGUGCCAGCAGCCGCGGUAAUACGGAGGGGGUUAGCGUUGAAGCC
rnacentral:rRNA from 1 species